CUCUCCAUAUAACUUCGAACUCAACUUUUCAGCGAGGCGCGAACUCAACUUUGUGUGCCUUGUGGCACCGUUUUUGGAGUUAAAAAAUUCGCCUUCAUUCCAAAUUUCGUUGUUUUCCUGUGGCUUUCGUAAUCGCUAUACAUAUUUUUGCUUCUUAAUUUCAAACAGUAGAAAGUAUAAUUUAUUUUGUUUACUUUAAGUUUAAAAUCCGCAGCGGUCCGGUUGAGCGGUCCGUAUCGUGAAAAACCGGACCGCAAACGAAGCAAUUUGAUUGGCUAAAAAGCAUGGCGAAAAUUUGUGGUUGUCAUUUUACCAGGUAACUUCUUUCUUAUAUUUAUUCAGCUUUAUAGCUGUAGGCAAAUUACAUGUGUUCGCAAUGGUCUAGCAAACAAC